UACGUAGGGUGCAAGCGUUGUCCGGAUUUAUUGGGCGUAAAGAGCUCGUAGGCGGUUUGGCAAGUCGGGUGUGAAACCUCCAGGCUCAACCUGGAGACGCCACUCGAUACUGCUAUGACUUGAGUCUGGUAGGGGAUCACGGAAUUCCUGGUGUAGCGGUGAAAUGCAUAGAUAUCAGGAGGAACACCGGUGGCGAAGGCGGUGAUCUGGGCCGGUACUGACGCUGAGGAGCGAAAGCGUGGGGAGCAAACAGG
rnacentral:rRNA from 1 species